UCAUGAAAAAUUUGUCGUGGU
rnacentral:piRNA from 1 species